GCGGGUUACUUGAAAUGCAGGUGCAGCUGGACUUUUCUCUGAGCUAAAAGCAUAUCUAUUUAGUCUGCCUAAAAAACAGAUUAUUACCUUUGCUGCAGCUAACAUAAAGGAGAUUAGUUCUUGUGCUGACUGAUGCAGGAUUCACAGAGACAGCUUCGGCUGGCCUUUGUAAACUCGAUCUCAAAUCAAGUAAGACUACCCGCUGAACUUAAGCAUAUCAAUAAGCGGAGGAAAAGAAACUAACAAGGAUUCCCCUAGUAACGGCGAGUGAAGCGGGAUGAGCUCAAAUUUAAAAUCUGGCUGGUUUACUAGUCCGAAUUGUAGUUUAAAGAAGCGUUUUCGGUGGCAGCCUGGGUAUAAAUCCUUUGGAACAGGGUAUCAUAGAGGGUGAGAAUCCCGUCUUUGACUCAGUGCAUGCUACUAUGUGAUACGUUUUCAAAGAGUCGAGUUGUUUGGGAAUGCAGCUCAAAAUGGGUGGUAAAUUUCAUCUAAAGCUAAAUAUUGGCGAGAGACCGAUAGCGAACAAGUACCGUGAGGGAAAGAUGAAAAGAACUUUGAAAAGAGAGUUAAACAGUGCGUGAAAUUGUUGAAAGGGAAACGCUUGACACCAGUCAUGCGAGCGGAAAAUCAGUCUUUUGCGGUGGGGAGAGUGUGUGGGUUCGGACCGCAAGGCCGGCCUGCGCUUCAUCUCUGCUGUAAGUGAUGCACUUUUUCGUUUGCAGGCCAACAUCAGUUUCUUCUGCUGGACAAAACUCUUGAGAAGGUAGCAGCUUAGGCUGUGUUAUAGCUCUUGAGCGAUACAGUGGAGGAGACUGAGGUUUUCGCAGCGCGUGCUUUCGGGCAAGGCUGAUUGGGUGCUAUGGGAUCGUUCGGUGUACAAUGCAUGCAUUUUGCGCCGUGUCUUUUCUAUACUCGCUCAACUCGGCUCUCCGCG
rnacentral:rRNA from 1 species